UUCGAGGGUGCCGGACAGAUGCUGCAUGGUUGUCGUCAGCUCGUGUCGUGAGAUGUACCGUUAAUUCGGGAAACGAGCGCGACCCCUAUCCUAUGUUUCAUGUGUCAUAGGAAACUGCCCGCUUUAAGUGGGAGGAAGGUGGGGAUGACGUCAAAUCAGCAUGGUUCUUACACCUUGGGCGACACACGUGCUACAAUGGGAAGCACAAAGGGACGCCAAAUCGCAAGAUGGAGCAAAUCCUUUAAAACUUCUCUCAGUUCGGAUUGAGGUCUGCAACUCGACCUCAUGAAGCUGGAAUCGCUAGUAAACGUGGAUCAGCCACGCCACGUUGAAUACGUUCUCGGGUCUU
rnacentral:rRNA from 1 species